GCUCCGGUGGUGUAGCCCGGCCUUCAUUCCGAUGAGGAAAACGUCUUCAUCGGGAUUCACCGGAAAAGCAUAGUGGCCUCUCGAGUCACUGACCCGGGUUCAAAUCCCGGCCGGAGCA
rnacentral:tRNA from 1 species